UAGUGAGUUUGAUCCUGGCUCAGAACGAACGCUGGCGGCAGGCUUAACACAUGCAAGUCGAACGCCCCGCAAGGGGAGUGGCAGACGGGUGAGUAACGCGUGGGAAUCUACCCAGUUCUACGGAACAACACAGGGAAACUUGUGCUAAUACCGGAUAUGCCUAUGGGUGAAAGAUUAAUUGCCAGAAGAAGAGCUCGCGUCUGAUUAGCUAGUUGGAGAGGUAAAGGCUCACCAAGGCAUCGAUCAGUAGCUGGUCUGAGAGGACGAUCAGCCACACUGGGACUGAGACACGGCCCAGACU
rnacentral:rRNA from 1 species